rnacentral:rRNA from 1 species
GAUGAACGCUAGCGGCAGGCUUAACACAUGCAAGUCGAGGGGUAGAAGUCUUCGGACUUUGAGACCGGCGCACGGGUGCGUAACGCGUAUGCAAUCUGCCUUUUACAGAGGGAUAGCCCAGAGAAAUUUGGAUUAAUACCUCAUAGUAUUACGACUCGGCAUCGAGAUGUAAUUAAAGUCACAACGGUAAAAGAUGAGCA